rnacentral:rRNA from 1 species
ACGAACCGUGCGAACGUUGUUCGGAUUCACUGGGCUUAAAGGGCGCGUAGGCGGGUGUCCAAGUCUGGGGUGAAAUCCUUCGGCCCAACCGGAGAACAGCCUCGGAUACUGGAUGUCUCGAGGGGGGUAGGGGCACGCGGAACUUCCGGUGGAGCGGUGAAAUGCGUAGGUAUCGGAAGGAACGCCGGUGGCGAAAGCGGCAUCCUGGACCGGCAUUGACGCUGAUGAGCGAAAGCCAGGGGAGCAAACGGGA